rnacentral:tRNA from 1 species
AGGUAUAUAGCUCAGUGGUAAAGCAUGUGCUUAGCAUGCCUAAGGUCCUGGGUUCAAUCCCCAGUUCCUCCA